rnacentral:rRNA from 1 species
GAUGAACGCUGGCGGCGUGCCUAAUACAUGCAAGUCGAGCGAACAGACGAGGAGCUUGCUCCUCUGACGUUAGCGGCGGACGGGUGAGUAACACGUGGAUAACCUACCUAUAAGACUGGGAUAACUUCGGGAAACCGGAGCUAAUACCGGAUAAUAUAUUGAACCGCAUGGUUCAAUAGUGAAAGACGGUUUUGCUGUCACUUAUAGAUGGAUCCGCGCCGCAUUAGCUAGUUGGUAAGGUAACGGCUUACCAAGGCAACGAUGCGUAGCCGACCUGAGAGGGGGAUAGGCCACACUGGAACUGAGACACGGUCCAGACUCCUACGGGAGGCAGCAGUAGGGAAUCUUACGCAAUGGGCGAAAGCCUGACGGAGCAACGCCGCGUGAGUGAUGAAGGUCUUCGGAUCGUAAAACUCUGUUAUUAGGGAAGAACAAAUGUGUAAGUAACUAUGCACGUCUUGACGGUACCUAAUCAGAAAGCCACGGCUAACUACGUG